UCUAGAACAAGGUGACUUUAUCAAUGUAUUCGCCUGUAUUUACCCCCCCCCCCCAUAAUGACAUUUUAAUUAGUAGCUAUUGUGACUACCAUAAAGAACUACAAAUGCCAUGAUCAUCUGGACGAGACUGCCGAAUCGAGGCAAAGGUAAGAAUCUCUGGAUUAACUUUCUAAUGUUAGCUAAAUUUAGUAAGGAAUAAUUUGGCAACAUUUAUUUUAAUUGACAAUUCUGUGAACUGCCUUGUGCAAGUUUUAAAUGGACACAAUACCUGUUAGCAAAGGUGUCAGCUAGAGAUGACGUGCAGGAUCUUGCAGGGAUUUGUAGUCUUGAAUGAUGUCUACUCUGAUGCAAAUUAGCUUUUUCGAAUCUUAGCGUAAAUAGAGCUGAAUAUAUUGAUAAAAGUCACCUUGUCCGAGAGGUUUACAUGGAUAUCAAAGUGUCACGCCAGUGUAAACCUAUACGAAAGACAGCCCUUAGUUUAAAAGUUUCUAAAAUCCCCUAUGGGAAAAAUGAAUGGUGUAAAAAACAAUUGGAACCAAUUUGACCGCUAGGUUUUAUGGGUAUUAUAACACCUCCACUGUGGGGCUCUAUAGUAGUGAGGCAACAAUGGAUAUUGACAAUGAGUUCAUACAUUAUGUAAAGUCUAAUGGAAAAACUGGAAUGUGGACAUUGAGGAAAAGAAAGCUCCUACUGUCACAGGCGUCGAAAUGAGUAGACCAAGGUGUAUAGUGCUCAUUUUUAAACUUUUAAUGAAGACACUUGAACCAAAACAAUAAAACGACCGACAACAGUUCCAUAAGGUACACACUGACAAAACGGAAAACAACUACCCACAAAAAACAAAGGAAAAACAGGCUGCCUAAGUAUGGCUUCCAAUCAGAGACAACGAUAGACACCUGCCUCUGAUUGGAAACCAUACCCGGCCAAAACAUAGAACACAAAACAUAGAAUGCCCACCCACUUAUCACACCCUGGCCUAGCUAAACAGAGAAAACACAGCUCUCCUAGGUCAGAGCGUGACAGUACCCACCCCCCCAAAGGUGCGAACUCCCGGCCGUAAACCUGAACCUAUUGGGGAGGGUCCGGGUGAGCAUCUAUAAUUGGCGGCGGCUCUGGUUUGGGGCGUAGCCCCCACACCGCCCGCUGAUCCCCCCGCUUCUGUGUCGCCGGAGGAACCAGACCGUGGAUCAGCGCCAGAGGCUCUGAACUGCCGACCGCCGCUGAAGACUCUGGGCUGCAGGCCGCCGCUGAAGACUCGGGGCUGCAGACCGUCGCUGAAGACUCAGUGCUGCAGACCGUCGCUGAGGACUCCGGGCUGCAGACCGUCGCUGAGGACUCCGGGCUGCAGACCGUCGCUGAAGACUCCGGGCUGCAGACCACCGCUGGAGGCUCCGGACUGGGGAGCGUCGCUGGAGGCUCCGGACUGGGGAGCGUCGCUGGAGGCUCCGGGCUGAGGAGCGUCGCUGGGGGCUCCGGGCUGAGGAGCGUCGCUGGGGGCUCCGGGCUGAGGAGCGUCGCUGGGGGCUCCGGGCUGAGGAGCGUCGCUGGGGGCUCCGGGCUGAAGAGCGUCUCUGUAGGUUCCGAACUGGGGACCUUCGCUGCAGGCUCCGUGCCAUGGAUCAUCACUACUGGUUCCGCGUCAUGCAUCAUCACUGGAGGCUUUGUGCCAUGGAUCAUCACUGGAGGCUCCGGGCCAUGUAUUAUCACUGGAGGCUUCGUGCCAUGGAUCAUCCCUACAGGCUCCGGGCCAUGGAUCAUCACUGGAGGCUUUGUGCCAUGGAUCAUCCCUACAGGCUCCGGGCCAUGGAUCAUCACUGGAGGCUUCGUGCCAUGGAUUAUCACUACAGGCUCCGGGCCAUGGAUCAUCACUGGAGGCUUCGUGCCAUGGAUUAUCACUGGAGGCUUCGGACCAUUGAUUAUAACUGGAGGCUUCCUACGGGGAGCUGGAACCGGUCUCACCAGACUGGGGGGACGCACAGGAGACUGGGUGUGCAGAGCAGGCACAGGGCGUACUGGGCUAUGGUGGCGCACUGGAGUGAGAGUGCGCGGAGCAGGCACAGGGUAUACUGGGCCUUGGAGGCAUACUGGAGGUCUGGCGCUGAGGGCUGGCACAACCCAUCCUGGCUCGAUGUUGACUAUAGCCCGGCAAGGGCGGGGAGCUGGAAUAGGCCGCACUGGGUUGAGCUGGCGAACUGGGGGUACCAUGCGUAGAGCUGGCGCAGGAUAACCUGGGCCGAGGAGAUGCACCGGAGACCAGGAACGCACCGGAGACCAGGCACUCCUUCCUGGCUGAAUGCCAACUCUAGCACGGCAAUGGUGAGGAGCUUGCACCGAGCGCACCGGGCUGUGAGUGCGCAUGGGCGACACCGUGCGCACCACCGCAUAACACAGUGCUUCUACAGUCACUUGCUCCCCACGGUAAGCACAGGGAGUUGGCUCGGGUCUUAACCUCGCCUUAGCCAAUCUACCCGUGUGGGCCCCCCAAAAUGUUUGGGGGCGCUGCCUCUCGGCCUCCUGUUGCUUGCCUAGCUGUUCCUCCCAGUAUCGUCGUUCCGCAUUUGCUGCCUCUAUCUCCCAUUGCGGACGGCGAUACUCACCAAGGCCUUGUCCAGGGUCCUGCCCCAUCUAGGAUCUCCUCCCAGGUCCACUCCUCUGAGCCAUACUGCUUGGUCCCGCUCCUCCUCCUGGAGAGUGCACGCUGCUUGGUCUUCUUGUGGUGGGUAGUUCUGUCACAGGCGUCGAAAUGAGUAGACCAAGGCGCAGCGUGUAUAGUGCUAAUUUUUAAACUUUUAAUGAAGACACUUGAACGAAAACAAUAAAACGAUCGACAACAGUUCCGUAAGGUACACACUGACAAAACGGAAAACAACUACCCACAAAAAUCAAAGGAAAAACAGGCUGCCUAAGUAUGGCUUCCAAUCAGAGACAACGAUUGACACCUGCCUCUGAUUGGAAACCAUACCCGUCCAAAACAUAGAACACAAAACAUAGAAUGCCCACCCACCUAUCACACCCUGGCCUAGCUAAACAGAGAAAACACAGCUCUCCUAGGUCAGAGCGUGACACCUGCACAACUCCAAAGUGAUGGGAAUACAGUUGAGAGAGAUGAAAUAAACCAAGAGAAGAAAAAGAAAGAGGGAGUUGAAAAGAAAAAGGUAUUUCAGGAGAACCAGCCAGCAAAAUGCAAAGGUAAAACAUGUGGACGAAAGAGAGAGACUUUAAAAAGAAAUACCACUAUAGAGGAUAAAGAGGAGAAUAACUAUAUUCUUGAAGUUCAGAAUGUGAAGUGAGCAUGAAUACCCUCAGAAUGUUUAUCUAUCUCUCCUAUCUAUCUCCCUCUGCAGACGUAUCAAUCUUUUCAGCUGGUUUUCAGGUCAAAGAGACUCAGCACACCCAGCAGUGCAAAGAUUCCUCAAUCUUUGCGUAGUCUGGGGUGAUGAGUCAGAUUGGCUCAGGAGGACCAGCCAGCAAAGUGCGAAGAUUUCUCCAUCUUCUCAGCUGGUGCUGAGGACAAACAGACCCUAGUGCAAAGGGAAUCUUUGUUUACAGUUGUUUUGUGCAAUGAAGCAUUUAACUCUAUAGUAGUCAUAGAUUGAUAUUUGGAUUGCAGUUUAUUAAAUUAAUAUGAUGGUCUGAUGGACUAUUGAUACUCAAACUGUCCUGAACUUGUCUGGAAAAGUCUAUUGUGUUUCGCUAAUUUGAAAGCAAAUUCAGUUUGAAAGCAUACUCAAUGCUGUACAUAUUUUAGUGUUGAGGGUACUAUAAUCAAACACACUCCUUUUGAUAUUAAUGCCAGUCAUUUUAUUUUUUCUUGUCAGAUUUCAGUUGCUGCAGCUGAGUCAAAGACUCUGAACCCUCAGGAGGAUGAGCCAGCAAAGCGCAACUGUGAAAAAAACAGAAUGGUAGCAUAUUGAUACAAUGAUGAGUGCUGCCUGCGCUAGUUUGAAAGCAUGUUCAAGACAUUUCUCUUAUUUCUGUUUUUCUGUGUGUAUCAAUGUCCCUUCACUCUCUUCUCUUGUCAGAUUUCUCUGUUUUUGCUGCAGUUAGAGGAAAGAUUCAAGACACUUAGACAGACCAGGCAGCAAAGGUCAAAAGGACCUGGACAUUGACAUGGGCUGGUCAGAGAGUGAGUAUGAUAUGGACGAUGAGUUCAUAAGUUCAGAAGUAUGGCAAAAGUGGAAAGAGGAGAAUUGGGAGAAAAGACAAAACAAAGAUUACAGUUACAGCAUUACCGAAUACAGAUAAGCUUGAUGGAGAGAUUUUAAGAAAAUAGAGUGAAAAGAUAUAUCAGCCAGCAAAGGUCAAAGGUGAAAAUGUCCUGGCAAGUGGGGGGAUGAAUCAAGAGAUGACAGAGAAAGAAGUCAUUCAGAGAUCUUCUUAGGACCAGCCAGAUAUGUGCAAAGGUAAAGAGGGUCGGAGAUACAGUACAUGCUAUGAUAUGUAGAGCUGUCUGAAGUCCUUUUUAUAUAGCAACUAUGAUGUUUAUUUCCAAUCCCCCCUUCUGUUUUCAGCGAGCAGUGAAGGUGUGGCCAAGGUCCCCCCCCCCCCCAGCCCAGCAGGCCAAAGUGAGUAAUAAAAGAGAGAUUGUCCAAAAGAAAGAUGGGAAUGACAAAGUUGCGGAGUUUAAGACAGAUGCAGAGCUCAUUAUGGAAACACACAGUGCAUUCGGAAAGUAUUCAGACCCCUUGACAUUUUCCACAUUUUGUUAAGUUACAGCCCGGUCUAGUCAACCUAGAUUAGGCCUACAUUUUUAUGUUUUUAUUAGCCUACUAUUAGGCCUAUUAUAGUUCCCGCGCAUCAAACACCUCCCAUUUCCAACAAACAAACAAUAUGCCCAUUUGCUUGGAAUACAGUUGAUCGAUAUUUUAGAAGUUGUGCUCACAGUUUGAAAUUUACAUGAAGAUACUCACACCAUCCCCCAGUCAAGUUCAAAAUGGAUAAAUACCAACCAUUGUGGGAAAAUUGGCACAUGCAAAGUUUAGUCUUUUUUUGUGCCCACAGCAUCUUCGAUAAAUUAGGCCCCUUGUUUUUUCAGGGGCAGUCUGCCCAAUUUUAUGUUCAAAAGGGCCAGGGUGACACUGAGUAGGAUAUCUAUAUUUAAAGGAAUGACAAACCAAUGUGCCACCUACAUAUUGUUUAUCUUCUGUUUGCACAAAGAGACUACCUCCCACAUCACGGAUAUAGGGCCAAAUUUGAACAAAUAAACCAAUAUUGUGUGCAAUGUGCUGUAGACAAACAGUUUGUCCUCUGUAUACAUGACCUACCUUGUUGUCAUGUGUUCUGUUUAACUUCCCUUCUUACCAUGCAUAAGCAUGUCUAAACAUGUCAAUAAAGGAAGAGAAAGACGUACAAGCCAGGUUGAUACUGUAUGUGGGAAGAUCUCAUUGAAUAAAGGCUGUGUGUUUCCUUGUGUGUGUGUGAGUGUGUGCGUGCGCGUGUGCGUGCAUGUGUCCGUGUGCAUGUGUGAGCUUGUGGCACCGGAAGGCAGCUUCCUGCAGUGCAAUGUAAGAGCAGGGGGUUGAUGAGCUUAAAUCAUGCCUCUAUUCAAUCACUCAACCACUGUAGUGCGUUGACCACCAGUGCUAUGCUAAAGUUGGUGUGCUGAAUUGUUAACUCAAGUGAAUAAGUAACAUGGGAUGUUCACUUGUUCCAUUACUUACUUUGUUUUGUUUCUACUUAAAUGACCCUGAUGUAUGGGGAUAGAUCACAUUGACCUGUCCCUCUCCACAAUUGCACAGCAUUUCCAAUCAAUUUAAUAAGUAUUCGUCAUCUAACACAUUACUCUUUCUCAACAUUUAUGAUAUCUACAGUAAACAACCACAUUCAGCAUCUGCAUGAAAAACUCCAAACAAUACAACAACACCAUCAAUUCACUUUUUUUGGUCAUAUACACUUAAUUCGGAAAGUAUUCAGAUCCUUCAACUUUUUCCACAUUUUGUUGUGUUACAGCCUUAUUCUAAAAUAUAUUAAAUACCCAAUAAUGACAAAGAAAAAUCUGUUUUUCAGAAUUGUUUUAAAAUGUAUAAAAAAAAACAGGAAAUGUCAAAUUUACAUUGGUAUUCAGACCCCUUACUUAAUACUUUGUUGAAGCACCUUUGGCAGCAAUUACAACCUCGAGUCUUCUUGGGUAUGACGCUACAAGCUUUGCACACCUGUUUUGGGGAGUUUCUCCCAUUCUUCUCUGCAGAUCUUCUCCAGCUCUGUCAGGUUAGAUGGGGAUCGUCACUGCACAGCUAUUUUCAGGUCUCUCCAGAGAUGCUCGAUUAGGUUCAAGUUCGGGCUCUGGCUGGGCCACUCAAGGACAUUCAGAGACGUGUCCUGAAACCACUCCUGCGUUAUCUUGGCUGUGUUCUUAGGGUCAUUGUCCUGUUGGAAGGUGAACCUUCGCCCCAGUCUGAAGUCCUGAGCUCUCUGGAGCAGGUUUUCAUCAAGGAUCUCUCUGUACUCUCUGUGAUCCAUUCAUCUUUUUCUCGAUCCUGACUAGUCUCCCAGUCCCUGCCGCUGAAAAACUUCCCCCACAACAUGAUGCUGCCACCACCAUGCUUCACCAGACAUGACGCUUGGCAUUCAGGACAAACAGUUCAAUCCUGGUUUUAUCAGACCAUAGAAUCUUGUUUCUCAUGGUCUGAGAGUCCUUUGGGUGCUUUUUGGCAAACUCCAAGCGGGCUGUCAUGUGCCUUUUACUGAGGAGUGGCUUCAGUCUGGCCACUUUAAAAUAAAGGCCUAAAUGGUGGAGUGGUGCAGAGAUUGUUGUCCUUCUGAAAGGUUCUCCCAUUUCCACAGAGGAACUAUAGAGCUCUGUCAGAGGGACCACAAGGUUCUUGGUCACCUCUUGACUAAGGCCCUUCUCCCCCGAUUGCUCAGUUUGGCCAGGGGGCCAGCUCUAGGAAGAGUCUUGGUUGUUCCAAUCAUUUCUUCCAUUUAAGAAUGAUGGAGGCCACUGCGUUCUCGGGGUCCUUCAAUGCUGCAUAAAUGUUUUGGUAAGGCAAAGUGACAUGGACAAAAACACAAAACAGUGCCUAUAGAAAGUCGACACCCCCUUGAACUUUUUUCACAUUUUGAAGUAUCAGUGCCUCAGAGUUUCAUGCAUUUAAAUAACGGUUUUCUCCCACUUAUCUACAUACCAUUCUCCACACUUUAAAAAUACAAAACAGUUUGGAGGGAGAGCCUGAUCUCGGCAUGGUCUUGGUGGUGCCAUAGACCUUCCAUUUCUUAAUAAUCAUCUUGACCGUGCACCAAGGGAUAUUUUGAAAUCUCAUUUGGUGCUCAUGGUUGAGGGGAGUGUAGAAUGUUCAUAGGGGGAGCAGCAGGGGGGGAACCACUGCCCACUGCCGCUAUCAUCCAGAUGGCGAGGUCAGUAGAGUUGCAUCAAAGCUGGGACUGAGAGACUGAAAAACAGCUUCUAUCUCAAGGCCAUCAGACUGCUAAACAGCCAUCACUAGCACAUCAGAGGCGGCUGCCUAUAGCCAUAGAUUAGGAAUCACUGGCCACUUUUAGAAAUGGAUCACUAGCCACUUUAAUUUUGUUUCCAUAUCUAGCAUUACUCAUCUCAUAUGUGUAAACUGCACACCACACAAUUCUACGGUAUCUUAGUCACUUUUAAAUUGUGUUUACAUAUUGCAUCACCCAUCUCAUAUAUACAUACUGUAUUGUAUUCUAUACUACACCACUGACUGUUAAACAGCCAUCUCCAGCUCAUCAGAGGCUGCUGCCUGUGGACAUAGAUUAGGAAUCACUGGUCACUUUAAGGAAAUGAAACACUAGCCACUUUAAUAUUGUCUCCAAAUCUUGCAUUACUCAUCUCAUAUGUGUAAACUGUACUCUAUACUAUCUUAGUCACUUUAAUUGUGUGUAAAUAUUGCAUCACCCAUCUCAUAUGUAUAUACUGUAUUCUGUACUAUGCCACUGUAUCUUAGUCCAAUGCCGCUCUGACAUAUAUGUAUAUAUUCUUAAUCCAUUCCUUACUUAGAUUUACGUGUAUUUUGGGUAUAUGUUGUGAAACUGUUAGAUAUUACUUGUUAGAUAUUACUGUACUGUCGGAGCUAGAAGCACAAGCAUUUUGCUACAACCGCAAUAACAUCUGAUAAACACGUGUAUGUGACCAAUACAUUUUAUUUUAUUUGAAAAGACAACACGAUAUACAGAAAAUAAGGCACUUAUAGUUAUGCACACAUGUCCAAAGUUAUUAUUUGUAAGAAAAACAACAAUGAAGGCAAUGCAGGCACCAACCAGAAAAUGUGCCAGGGGGAAAAGGUUUGUGCAAGGCCUAUUUUGACUAUAGAUGCACAAAUGUAUGCGUACUUGAUUUGAGGAAACACUGGAGAAGUGCUUGGGCUCUCCUCAAAGAUAGAAGUUUGUCCAGUUCAGUAAAGUCUCAAACAUAAAUUGUCCACAACAUUGAAAUGGGCUACUUCUUACGUGAAUUAAUGAGGAGGCAGAACACACCAGAGAUAAAAUGGAGCAUAAUUUUGUUUGAUUAAAUCAAUUUUUAUAUUCAAAUGUAGGAACUGGGCACAGAAAUGCCCUUAUCCAGAUGGUGUGACAAAGGCAUUUCCUAACAGACCUGCUAACUUUUUGUUGUUGUUACUUUCUACGGUUGGAACCAACAUGCAGUACUUCCAGCAGGAGAGAGGCAAGAACCAUUUGUCCACCAGCCCAGGAAAAAGUUCCCAGUCCUAUGUUAUGUGCAAUGUAAUUGCAUUGCUGGACAUUUCUAACUAAAUAUAUGUGUACUGUUUAAAAAAUUACAAAUGAAAGGAAAUGUAUGGCUUUAAUAUGUCUUUGACUUUAUAGUAAGAACAGCGUCAUAUGACACAAGGCAUUUAUGUAUGUGUUAUAAAUGACCAAAGGGGUCUGACUUUAUUAAAGAAUGUACAGCGUCAUGCGCUAUAGUCUUUCUGGAUGUGUUCUGAAUGACCAAAGGUGUCUCACUCACUAUAUUAUAAAGUGUCAAUAAAUAGGUUACUGUAGGGUGUGAGAGGUAUUUCAAUGGGUUGAUGGUGUAAUGGGAAAUGUUUAUUGUAUGUGUCCACAUAACUGUGAUUGUGACUAACCUUGUCAAACUGUGUGAAACUGUCCUGUUCUCGGAAGUAUCACCCCGUGUUGCAAACCAGCUUGCACCUGCGUCCUUGUAUAGAUCCGCCCAAGAACAGGAGACUAUAAAGAUAUGUGCCUAUCACCCAAUGCUUCGGAACUUAGACUGUCUACACUGCGCUGUUUAAGUCUGUUUCUCUCUGAGCUCAG
rnacentral:lncRNA from 1 species